AGUAGAUCAACAAAGGAGUAUAAAUCUAGGCUGUAGCUCGGGGCUCAGGGGUAGAACACUUGCCUGACAGGACAAGGUCCUGGGUUUGAUCUUCAGCACUGGAGGGAUACAGGGAAGACAGAGGAACAGGGAGACAGAGAAAGAAAGACAAAGGAAAAAGAGAAGGGGUGAGGAGGAGAAGGGUAGGAAGGAACAGGGAAAGAGACAGAGAGGAAGAGGCGGGAAUAGAGGAAGGGAGACAGGAAGAGAGCAAAGGGCAGGAAUAAGAGAAGAGAAACGAAGAGAAGGAAGUGGUCACAAUUAGCAAUGUUGUUUGCGUGUUUAUGGAUGGAAGUAAGUAGAAUUGGUUUCCUGUUUUCUUUAGGAUGUUUAGGGUGUAAGUCAACCUACCAAAUGCUUAAAAUGUAAAGUAUUUUAAUAAGUGUUAUUAAUUAAAAUUUUUGACAUUAAGCACUCUGGUCAUAUUAGUAAGUGUUGUCUUUGUCAGAGAGUUGGCUAGGGAAUAAGAUACCUACGUAUACUCAACUGGCCUUGGGAAACAUGACACAGAUAAAAUAUCCUACCCUAUGAUGUUUUCCGACUUCCUUUGAGUGGGGACUGGGGUCCAUUUCUCAGGAGAAUGGAUAAGGAAAUAGGUUGUCUUUGGCAUUUCAUCUUGCAUUCUUGGUCCUCUUUAGCUUGGUACUUACAUGCUGAGCCAUCCUUAAGUGUCUUCCUGUGAGAUUUGACUCCCUGCCCCCUCAGAGCCUUUCUCCACAGGUAAUGGGAGGGUUGGGACAAAGUGACUUAUUUGCUAGCACUUUUUUUUUUUUUUUUUUUUUUUGGCCAUAGUAACCCAAGAACUAACUUAAAUGGACUCAUCAGUCACAAUGACACAAUGAGUUGCCUCCUCUCUGUAGCCAUGCCUACAGGAAAUCACUUUGUUAUGAUGAAGCAGUCAUUCUUUUCACACUGCCCCGUGUCUUCUUAAAAAAAAAAAAAAAAACACGGUUCAUGAAGUCAGCUGAAGUCCUGACAAACACCAUGAUGUCAAAAUCAUUCUUGCGGGAUAGAUAUGUAAAUUAAAAACGUUGUGAAUAGCCAGACCUGCGAGAUCACGCCCUUAGGCUGAGCACACUUAGAUGCUGGUGAUGAGGUCAGAAAAUAAGUCAGUACAACUGGAAAUUAUAGUAGCUACAGUUGCCUGGGGUUCGGGACUACUUUAAGCUUGCUGACUGACAACGUCUGCACAGUUUAACUCUGUUGUAUUUAUUUGGGAAUGCAUUCAUCUUACUUCGCAAAGCCUGGAGAGAGUUCCUGUGUGAAUCCUUAGAGCGAUGUAUAUGCGGCUAAUUUAGGUUCCCCCCCCCCUUUUUAAGUAGAUUUGCUGCCAUAAAUAGGAGGGGAGGGAGAAUCCUUUUUACAUAAAUGCCUUUCUUCAUCCCCCCACCAUCCCUCACUAAAACAUAAAUUAAUUAGUUACAUUUUAAAAGCAUCUCUCAGAUCCUUGUCCAGUGUGGGCUGCCCAGACCAAUGGCUGCUGACAGUCAUGGCUGGGCCUGGAAUGGAGGACGUCAUAUCAAGCAGAGCACACAUGUCUGGAGGUCAGUGGCACAGGCUUGCUAGGUGGCUGCUCCACUGGAGGAGUCGCAUGAUGCUGGCUCAGUCCAGAGCCAGCAGUGGCUGGGUGUUCUCGUUUUCCCCCUUCUCUUCAUGUUUCAAGGUCCCAGCUUCUACCACGGACUGAGAUCUAAUGAGAGAGAGAGAGAGAGAGAGAAAGAGAGAGAGAGGAGACGCACACAGUCACAGACAGUCCAUGUUGUGAUUCCCCUGGAAAAUCCAAGCAUGUAAGAUAGCUACUUAGUACUUCCUGUUUGGUACCUGUUUUCCACACACCACUUUAUUUAUUUCUUUCCUUUAUCUUUCGGAAGAUUGAACCUGGUCAUUCUGAGACUCUUUCCUUCUCUUGAAUUUGAUCCAUACCUUUUUGCUGUAAUAAACCACAGCUGUGAGUGUAACAUUUUGUCAAUGUUUCCAUCUAUCGAAUAAAAAUAAAAGCAUUCCCAUAAAUGCAAAAACAAAAACAAAAGCGCAAA
rnacentral:lncRNA from 1 species